GAUGAACGCUGGCGGCGUGCCUAAUACAUGCAAGUCGAGCGAACGGACGAGAAGCUUGCUUCUCUGAUGUUAGCGGCGGACGGGUGAGUACACGUUGACAACCUACCUAUAAGACUGGGAUAACUUUGGGAAACCGGAGCUAAUACCGGAUUAUAUUUUGAACCGCCUGGUUCAAAAGUGAAAGACGGUCUUGCUGUCACUUAUAGAUGGAUCCGCGCUGCAUUAGCUAGUUGGUAAGGGAACGGCUUACCAAGGCAACGAUGCAUAGCCGACCUGAGAGGGUGAUCGGCGACACUGGAACUGAGACACGGUCCAGACUCCUACGGGAGGCAGCAGUAGGGAAUCUUCCGCAAUGGGCGAAAGCCUGACGGAGCAACGCCGCGUGAGUGAUGAAGGUCUUCGGAUCGUAAAACUCUGUUAUUAGGGAAGAACAUAUGUGUAAGUAACUGUGCACAUCUUGACGGUACCUAAUCAGAAAGCCACGGCUAACUACGUG
rnacentral:rRNA from 1 species